rnacentral:rRNA from 2 species
ACGUAGGUGGCAAGCGUUAUCCGGAAUUAUUGGGCGUAAAGCGCGCGUAGGCGGUUUUUUAAGUCUGAUGUGAAAGCCCACGGCUCAACCGUGGAGGGUCAUUGGAAACUGGAAAACUUGAGUGCAGAAGAGGAAAGUGGAAUUCCAUGUGUAGCGGUGAAAUGCGCAGAGAUAUGGAGGAACACCAGUGGCGAAGGCGACUUUCUGGUCUGUAACUGACGCUGAUGUGCGAAAGCGUGGGGAUCAAACAG